rnacentral:tRNA from 1 species
GUCGCGGUAGGAGGUGGGCAGCGCCGCCAUCAGCUUGAGUUCGGCGGCGGCGACCUGGGCGCCGAGGCCGAGUUCGGCGGCCGGCUGCGGCA